GACGAACGCUGGCGGCGUGCUUAACACAUGCAAGUCGAACGGAAAGGCCCCUUUGGGGGUACUCGAGUGGCGCACGGGUGAGUAACACGUGAGUAACCUGCCCUUGACUUCGGGAUAACUUCAGGAAACUGGGGCUAAUACCGGAUAGGAAUCCUUGCUGCAUGGUGGGGGUUGGAAAGCUUCGGCGGUUUUGGAUGGACUCGCGGCUUAUCAGCUUGUUGGUGGGGUAGUGGCUUACCAAGGCUUUGACGGGUAGCCGGCCUGAGAGGGCGACCGGCCACAUUGGGACUGAGAUACGGCCCAGACGCCUACGGGAGGCAGCAGGGGGGAAUAUUGCACAAGGGGCGGAAGCCGGAUGCAGCAACGCCGCGGGCGGGAGGACGGCCUUCGGGUUGGAAACCGCUUUCAGCAGGGGCGAAGCUUGUGGUGACGGUACCUGCAGAAGAAGCACCGGCUAACUACGUG
rnacentral:rRNA from 1 species